UUAUUCUCAAACUCACACUUGUUGUAACGACUUGUUGUGGGCUUUGGAUGUGGGGACUACUGGACUCUAUUAAGUUGGAGGUCGGUUUCCCUUAAAUAUAUUAGUGGUUGGUCGGGCCCCAGCUCUUGGUGUAUGUUUAGGUUUUUAUCAGCUACACCUUAUACAGUCUGGCUAGCCCAUGCUAUGGCUACUGCUCUCUAACCGUCUUUUCAAAGACAAUUAGUAACAAU
rnacentral:misc_RNA from 1 species